ACUAAAUCCCCAGCUCUUUGUAUUAUUUUACUUUGAGACAUGGUCUCGCUAAGUAGCCCAGGCUGAGCUCCAGCUUGCCUCUGUAUUCUUGUCAGGCUCAGGAGGAACUGGUUUACAGGUUCACACCGCUCACGGCCUCGUAGACAUUUUUGGUGUUUUUGAGACAUGCUGUUACCCUCGUGUGGGGCCCCUGGAGGAUGUCGUAUAUCGCAGAAAACCCACUAGCCUGCCGGCCCUUGGAGAAGAACCUGAAAACGCAGGUGCAGCGAUCUUAGUGACCAAGGUUACCCACGCAGCAGUUCAUCAUACUAAUAAAUGUCUGGAAGUUAAAGGCCACCACUUUGACCAGCUCUUGUGGAGGCCAUAGGUAACUUGUGUUAAUCUCCUAUCUCAAUAAAUUUAGUACUUGUAUAAAAUAUUUAAACAAGUUUUUUUUCCUGAUGUGUGUAUACGUUUUUUUGGUGGACUCUGAUUUUUCCAAAGUAGUUUAAAAUGUUUUUAAAUUGGUAGUAUCUCUUUACAGUCGCUUUCUUUUUUUUUUUUUUUUUUUUUUUUUUGGUACCAGGAAUUGAACUCAGGACCUUGUGCUUGCCAGGCAGGCGCUGUGCCACUGGGUUAUAUCCCCAGCCCGCCUUUUUUGUUUUUGGUCUUUUGAGACAGGGUCUCGCUAUGAAGUUCAGGCUGGCCUUGAGCUUAUUUUGUAGCCC
rnacentral:lncRNA from 1 species